AGGGUUCGAUUCUGGCUCAGGAUGAACGCUAGCUACAGGCUUAACACAUGCAAGUCGAGGGGCAGCAUGAAGGAAGCUUGCUUCCUUUGAUGGCGACCGGCGCACGGGUGAGUAACGCGUAUCCAACCUUCCCCUUAGUAGGGCAUAGCCCGUAGAAAUGCGGAUUAAUACCCUAUGUUGUAUUUUGAGGACAUCUGAGGAAUACGAAAGACUUGUCGCUAAGGGAUGGGGAUGCGUCCGAUUAGGUAGUAGGCGGGGUAACGGCCCACCUAGCCGUCGAUCGGUAGGGGUUCUGAGAGGAAGGUCCCCCACACUGGAACUGAGACACGGUCCAGACUCCUACGGGAGGCAGCAGUGAGGAAUAUUGGUCAAUGGGCGUAGGCCUGAACCAGCCAAGUAAGCGUGGAGGAUGACGGCCCUACGGGUUGUAAACUCCUUUUAUGCGGGGAUAAAGUGCGGGACGUGUCCCGUUUUGCAGGUACCGCAUGAAUAAGGACCGGCUAAUUCCGUGCCAGCAGCUGC
rnacentral:rRNA from 1 species